rnacentral:rRNA from 1 species
UGCCAGCAGCCGCGGUAAUACGUAAGGGGCAGGCGUUACCCGGAAUUAUUGGGCGUAAAGCGUCCGCAGGCGGAAAUAUAAGUCAGUUAUUAAAUACCGGUGCUCAACAUCGGUGCUGUAACCGAAACUGUAUUUCUAGAGGAUGGGAGAGGUAUAUGGAAUUGUGCAAGUAGGGGUAAAAUCCGUAGAUAUGCACAGGAACACCAAAAGCGAAGGCAGUAUACUGGACCAUUCCUGACGCUCAGGGACGAAAGCGUGGGUAGCAAAAGGGAUUAGAUA